UAAAGUCAUUGCUGUACCUUGUAUGUAACC
rnacentral:piRNA from 1 species